AAACGCUUGAAGUCAGUCGCGUUGGCCGGGAAUCAGCCUUGCUUUUGCUUGGUGUACUUUCUGGUUGACGGGCCAGCAUCAGUUUUGACCGGCGGAAAAAGUUCAGGGGAAUGUGGCAUCUUCGGGUGUGUUAUAGCCCUCGUUCGUAUACAUCGGUUGGGACUGAGGAACUCAGCACGCCGCAAGGCCGGGUCUUUGACCACGUUCGUGCUUAGGAUGCUGGCAUAAUGGCUUUAAUCGAC
rnacentral:rRNA from 1 species